rnacentral:rRNA from 1 species
GACGAACGCUGGCGGCGUGCUUAACACAUGCAAGUCGAACGGAAAGACCCUGCUUUUGUGGGGUGCUCGAGUGGCGAACGGGUGAGUAACACGUGAGUAACCUGCCCUUGACUUUGGGAUAACUUCAGGAAACUGGGGCUAAUACCGGAUAGGAGCUCCUGCUGCAUGGUGGGGGUUGGAAAGUUUCGGCGGUUGGGGAUGGACUCGCGGCUUAUCAGCUUGUUGGUGGGGUAGUGGCUUACCAAGGCUUUGACGGGUAGCCGGCCUGAGAGGGUGACCGGCCAAAUUGGGACGGAGAGAGGGCCCAGACUCCGAGGGGGGGAAGCGGUGGGGAAUAUUGAAAAAGGGGGGGAAGCCGGAGGCAGAAACGCCGGGUGGGGGAUGACGGCCUUGGGGUUGUAACCCGUUUCCGCCUGUGACGAAGGGGGGGGGAGGGAAAUGGAUAAAGAAGCACCGGCAAACUACGUG